UACGUAGGGUGCAAGCGUUGUCCGGAAUUAUUGGGCGUAAAGAGCUCGUAGGCGGUUUGUUGCGUCGGCUGUGAAAUCCCGAGGCUCAACCUCGGGUCUGCAGUCGAUACGAGCAAACUAGAGUGUUGCAGGGGAGACUGGAAUUCCUGGUGUAGCGGUGAAAUGCGCAGAUAUCAGGAGGAACACCGGUGGCGAAGGCGAGUCCCCUGGACAACAC
rnacentral:rRNA from 1 species